ACCUUUAUCAGCAGUGUAAAAGGCAAGGGGUAAUUAUUUCCCCACAGUGCUGAUUUUGCAGCAACUGGUGCGUCUCCUGGCGCACCUUUUU
rnacentral:sRNA from 2 species